CAUUUGCCCAUUAAUUUAAUUCUUCCCCCCUAUGCCUGAUGUUUUUCCUCUUCCCUCCAUUCAUUCCCUGUAUAAACAUGAUGGUCAGGCAUAAGGUCCUCUUCUGCCUCGGGCUUUGUGUCCCUGUUUGGUGAGUGGUUCUUUACUACUCUGCUGUCUUAUCAUUACUUUCCCUCCAUCAACUCCUGCCUGCUUUUUUCCAUUGGUAGAUGUCAACCCGAAGUCCUGAUUUUGGUCCUAUUUUUAUAGAAUAUAGUUCCUGGUGUAGGCAGAUUAACUGGCAGCUUUUCGUUCUGGUUGUUUUGCAGGAUCUUAUUUGCAGUGAAGAAUCUGAAUACCUGGAGAAACAGCUAGGAAAAAAGAGUAACUAGCAUCAUGUUAUGAGCAAGCUCUCCAGGGGUCAGCAGCAAGUACUUCCCCAUAUAAAUAAAAUGUGUGUGUAUGUGUGGGACUUGAUAUUACUAGUCAGGUUGAAAAAUUGUCCUCAAUGUCUUUGGGCAUUUGACAAACAUUUUUCCCCCCAAAAGGAUCAUAAAGUAUUGGCUGCUGGUUUUCUACUCAUGUUAAUCUUUGUCCUUCUUUCAGAUACAAUGGUGUUUAAAAAAACAUGUUUAAAUUAAAUUAGUUUUGGCUGUGAAUCAGCAGAGAGAGCACAAGAAAUGUAUUAUAUUGUUGUAAUGAAGAAAGGAAAUGUACUGAUGGAAUGUUCUGACAGAGUAGCAACCUGGGCACAAGCCAAGCAAACACCAUUAACAAGGAGUGCUCAUCCUGCCUCUGCUGUAGUCAUGGAACAAAAGCUGCUUAUAAAUCCAGCAACUGAUCAAACCUUUAGUCUGUGGUGUUAUCUUUUCUUUCUUCUCCUAAGCUGAGAUCAGCUUUGAAAGGGUUAAUGCUGGAGUCCACUCCUGCUGCCAGCCAACAUCUGGACAUGGGAGAGAAGCCGCAGGACCCUGAGAGAGUGCCAUCUCAGGGUCACCACCACCCACCACUGGAGCCUCCCAGAUAUGUCGGCUGUGUCAGCAGUGCACCAGGGACUGGACCCUCCUUUUCCAGCAGCUGGUGGCAGUCAUAGAAAACUCAUUGGCAUAGAAGCUGGCCUGACAGGAGGAAGACAUCACCCAGGAAAUAGCUCAAGAGGAGGCAUGGGACUGGGCACAAUGGGCAUACUGGGCCUAGCUGAAGGCCUGGUACAGUGCUGUGUGGAACUGCUCUAGCAUCAACUGGCCAGCCAGGCCUGGCCAGUGGUGCCUACAUCCAGCCCCCUCCAUGCCUGGCCCCUGAUCCUGCAGGAGGAGGGCCCCCACAGGAUCCCCUGGCAUUCACUGUGGCCCCCAGACCCAUGGGGGAGCAGUCUGCUGCCAGGGUGCUGGCUGCCUGCCACUGUGCCCAGGCACUCCCCAUUCCAGAACUUGGACAGAGACUCAGCAUCUUGUACAUAAUUUUCAGUUUGGGAGGAGGACUUUUUAUUGUUGGUGGGUAGGGAGAG